GACGAACGCUGGCGGCGUGCUUAAUACAUGCAAGUCGAACGAAGUGGCGAACGGGUGAGUAAAGCGUAAUCAACCUGCCCUUCAGAGGGGGACAACAGUUGGAAAAGACUGCUAAUACCGAUUACUGUAGAAGGGGAUUGCGUCGGAUUAGCUGGUUGGUGGGGUAACGGCCUACCAAGGCGAUGAUCAGUAGCCGGUCUGGGAGGAUGAACGGCCACAAUGGGACUGAGACACGGCCCAGACUCCUACGGGAGGCAGCAGUGGGGAAUCUUCCGAAAUGGACGAAAGUCUGACGGAGCAACGCCGCGUGAGUGAUGACGGCCUUCGGGUUGUAAAGCUCUGUUAAUCGGGACGCGGUACCUGAAUAGAAAGCCACGGCUAACUACGUGCCAGCAGCCGCGGUAAUAC
rnacentral:rRNA from 1 species